GAGUUUGAUCAUGGCUCAGAUUGAACGCUGGCGGCAUGCCUUACACAUGCAAGUCGAACGGCAGCACGGGAGCAAUCCUGGUGGCGAGUGGCGAACGGGUGAGUAAUAUAUCGGAACGUGCCCAGUCGUGGGGGAUAACGUAGCGAAAGCUACGCUAAUACCGCAUACGAUCUACGGAUGAAAGCGGGGGACUCGCAAGAGCCUCGCGCGAUUGGAGCGGCCGAUAUCAGAUUAGGUUGUUGGUGAGGUAAAAGCUCACCAAGCCUGCGAUCUGUAGCUGGUCUGAGAGGACGACCAGCCACACUGGAACUGAGACACGGUCCAGACUCCUACGGGAGGCAGCAGUGGGGAAUUUUGGACAAUGGACGCAAGUCUGAUCCAGCAAUGCCGCGUGCAGGACGAAGGCCUUCGGGUUGUAAACUGCUUUUGUACGGAACGAAACGGUCUUCUUUAAUACAGAGGGCUAAUGACGGUACCGUAAGAAUAAGCACCGGCUAACUACGUGCCAGCAGCCGCGGUAAUACGUAGGGUGCGAGCGUUAAUCGGAAUUACUGGGCGUAAAGCGUGCGCAGGCGGUUAUAUAAGUCAGAUGUGAAAUCCCCGGGCUCAACCUGGGACCUGCAUUUGAGACUGUAUAGCUAG
rnacentral:rRNA from 1 species